rnacentral:rRNA from 1 species
UGGGGAAUAUUGCACAAUGGGCGCAAGCCUGAUGCAGCCAUGCCGCGUGGAUGAAGAAGGCCUUCGGGUUGUAAAGUACUUUCAGCGGGGAGGAAGGCGAUAAGGUUAAUAACCUUGUCGAUUGACGUUACCCGCAGAAGAAGCACCGGCUAACUCCGUGCCAGCAGCCGCGGUAAUACGGAGGGUGCAAGCGUGAAUCGGAAUGACUGGGCGUAAAGCGCACGCAGGCGGUCUGUCAAGUCGGAUGUGAAAUCCCCGGGCUCAACCUGGGAACUGCAUUCGAAACUGGCAGGCUAGAGUCUUGUAGAGGGGGGUAGAAUUCCAGGUGUAGCGGUGAAAUGCGUAGAGAUCUGGAGGAAUACCGGUGGCGAAGGCGGCCCCCUGGACAAAGACUGACGCUCAGGUGCGAAAGCGUGGGGAGCAAACA